rnacentral:rRNA from 1 species
ACACGUAGGGGCCUGACGUUGUUCGGAAUCAUUGGGCGUAAAGGGCGCGCAGGCGGCCGUCCAAGUCCGGUGUUAAAUGGUCGGGCUCAACCCGAUCAUGCGCUGGAAACUGGGCGGCUGGAGUCCCGGAGGGGAUGCCGGAAUUCCAGGUGUAGGGGUGAAAUCUGUAGAUAUCUGGAAGAACACCGAUGGCGAAGGCAGGCAUCUGGACGGAGACUGACGCUGAGGCGCGAAGGGGCGGGGAGCGAACAGGUUUAGAUCCCCUGGUAGUCCGCGCAGUAAACGAUGAAUACUAGCUGUCGGGGCUAUCAUGGCUUCGGUGGCGCAGCUAACGCAAUAAGUAUUCCACCUGGGGAGUACGGCCGCAAGGCUUAAACUCAAAGGAAUUGACGGGG